rnacentral:misc_RNA from 1 species
GAUGAAGAACGUAGCGAAAUGCGAUAAGUAAUGUGAAUUGCAGAAUUCAGUGAAUCAUCGAAUCUUUGAACGCACAUUGUGCCCGCCAGCACUCUGGCGGGCAUGCCUGUCCGAGCGUCAUUUCAACCCUCGCGCCGUCCCUCCAGGGGGCUCGGCGCGGUGUUGGGGGACACGGCCCCGGCCGCCCCCGAAAUGCAGUGGCGACCCCGCCGCGGCCCCUCCAGCGCAGUAAGCACGCUCGCUACGGGAGGCCCGGUGGACGCGUCCGCCGUAAAACGCCCAACUCUUCAGAAGUUGACCUCGGAUCAGGUAGGGAUACCCGCUGAACUUAAGCAUAUCAAUAAGCGGAGGA